CCUACGGGAGGCAGCAGUGAGGAAUAUUGGUCAAUGGACGAGAGUCUGAACCAGCCAAGUAGCGUGAAGGAUGACUGCCCUAUGGGUUGUAAACUUCUUUUAUAUGGGAAUAAAACGUUCCACGUGUGGGAUUUUGUAUGUACCAUAUGAAUAAGGAUCGGCUAACUCCGUGCCAGCAGCCGCGGUAAUACGGAGGAUCCGAGCGUUAUCCGGAUUUAUUGGGUUUAAAGGGAGCGUAGGUGGAUUGUUAAGUCAGUUGUGAAAGUUUGCGGCUCAACCGUAAAAUUGCAGUUGAAACUGGCAGUCUUGAGUACAGUAGAGGUGGGCGGAAUUCGUGGUGUAGCGGUGAAAUGCUUAGAUAUCACGAAGAACUCCGAUUGCGAAGGCAGUUCACUGGACUGCAACUGACACUGAGGCUCGAAAGUGUGGGUAUCAAACAGGAUGAGAUACCCUAGUAGUC
rnacentral:rRNA from 1 species